rnacentral:rRNA from 1 species
AGUGAACGCUGGCGGUAGGCCUAACACAUGCAAGUCGAACGGCAGCACAGUAAGAGCUAGCUCUUACGGGUGGCGAGUGGCGGACGGGUGAGGAAUACAUCGGAAUCUACUUUUUCGUGGGGGAUAACGUAGGGAAACUUACGCUAAUACCGCAUACGACCUACGGGUGAAAGCAGGGGAUCUUCGGACCUUGCGCGAUUGAAUGAGCCGAUGUCGGAUUAGCUAGUUGGCGGGGUAAAGGCCCACCAAGGCGACGAUCCGUAGCUGGUCUGAGAGGAUGAUCAGCCACACUGGAACUGAGACACGGUCCAGACUCCUACGGGAGGCAGCAGUGGGGAAUAUUGGACAGUGGGCGCAAGCCUGAUCCAGCCAUACCGCGUGGGUGAAGAAGGCCUUCGGGUUGUGAAGCCCUUUUGUUGGGAAAGAAAAGCAGCAGGUUAAUACCCCGCUGUUCUGACGGUACCCAAAGAAUAAGCACCGGCUAACUUCGUG